UACGAAGGGUGCAAGCGUUACUCGGAAUUACUGGGCGUAAAGCGUGCGUAGGUGGUUCGUUAAGUCUGCCGUGAAACCCCCGGGCUCAACCUGGGUAUGGCGGUGGAUACUGGCGGACUAGAGUGCGGUAGAGGGUGGUGGAAUUCCCGGUGUAGCAGUGAAAUGCGUAGAGAUCGGGAGGAACAUCUGUGGCGAAGGCGGCCACCUGGACCAGCACUGACACUGAGGCACGAAAGCGUGGGGAGCAAACAGG
rnacentral:rRNA from 1 species